rnacentral:rRNA from 1 species
CCUACGGGAGGCAGCAGUCGGGAAUUUUGGGCAAUGGGCGAAAGCCUGACCCGGCAACGCCGCGUGAAGGAUGAAGUCCCUCGGGAUGUAAACUUCGCAAGAAUGGGAAGAAUUAGUAGGGGUUAAUACCCCCUAUGAUGACGGUACCAUUUGUAAGCUCCGGCUAACUCCGUGCCAGCAGCCGCGGUAAU